rnacentral:rRNA from 1 species
UACGGGGGGGGUAAGCGUUGUUCGGAAUUACUGGGCGUAAAGGGCUCGUAGGCGGCCAACUAAGUCAGACGUGAAAUCCCUCGGCUUAACCGGGGAACUGCGUCUGAUACUGGAUGGCUUGAGAUUGGGAGAGGGAUGCGGAAUUCCAGGUGUAGCGGUGAAAUGCGCAGAUAUCAGGAGGAACACCGGUGGCGAAGGCGGGUCUCUGGGCCGAUACUGACGCUGAGGAGCGAAAGCGUGGGGAGCGAACGGG